GAUGAACGCUAGCUACAGGCUUAACACAUGCAAGUCGAGGGGUAACGAGAGGAAAGCUUGCUUUCCUUGUCGACGACCGGCGCACGGGUGAGUAAAGCGUAUCCAACCUGCCCCCAACUAGGGAAUAACCUUGCGAAAGUAAGACUAAUACCCUAUAAUUUCCUCAGAUGACAUCUGACGAGGAAUAAAGAUUUAUCGGUUGUGGAUGGGGAUGCGUCUGAUUAGGUUGUUGGCGGGGUAACGGCCCACCAAGGCAACGAUCAGUAGGGGUUCUGAGAGGAAGGUCCCCCACAUUGGAACUGAGACACGGUCCAAACUCCUACGGGAGGCAGCAGUGAGGAAUAUUGGUCAAUGGGCGGAAGCCUGAACCAGCCAAGUAGCGUGCAGGAUGACGGCCCUAUGGGUUGUAAACUGCUUUUAUACAGGAAUAAAGUUAGCCACGUGUGGUUAUUUGUAGGUACUGUAUGAAUAAGGACCGGCCAAUUCCGUGCCAGCAGCCGCCGUAA
rnacentral:rRNA from 1 species